rnacentral:rRNA from 1 species
GAUGAACGCUGACAGAAUGCUUAACACAUGCAAGUCUUUGGCGAAUCUGUGCUUGCACAGCCUAGCCAAGGCGGACGGGUGAGUAACGCGUAAAGAACUUGCCCUGCAGACAGGGAUAACAGACGGAAACGACUGAUAACACCUGAUACAAUUGCCGGCACGCAUGUGCCUGGCAAUGAAAAGAGAUGCUGCAGGAGAGCUUUGCGUCCUAUUAGCUUGUUGGUGAGGUAACGGCUCACCAAGGCGAUGAUAGGUAGCCGGCCUGAGAGGGUGAACGGCCACAAGGGGACUGAGAUACGGCCCUUACUCCUACGGGAGGCAGCAGUGGGGAAUAUUGGACAAUGGGGGCAACCCUGAUCCAGCAAUUCUGUGUGCACGAAGAAGGUUUUCGGAUUGUAAAGUGCUUUCAGCAGGGAAGAAGAAAGGACGGACCUCAGAGAGCGCG